UGCUCGACCAGUUCCUCAUUGACCAGAUGCACCUAUACCUACCGCCCGCCCCAUCGUCAUAUCGUCAGAAUCAGAGGAAUCUAAUUCCGACCCAGAUAACUCAGACUUCACACCAGAUUUCAUAGAGUCUGAAGUGUUUAGCCCGAGUGAAUUGAAUGAUUGAAUUACAGAUUGCAUCUUCCAAAGGAUGCAUUCGAAUUGUUAGCGUCUAGAUAACAGAUAUUCCUCCAACAUGCGUUCUGAAGUCUUGAAUUGACUAGCGCAUGAUACUGGAUUCGAAACUUUUCAUAUAUAAAUCUCUGGAUAAAUAAUAUCCGCUUUACAAAAAAUUGCAAGUGAAGGCCAGAUACCAAGGUUGGAGCCGGAAGAAGAAAAAAGGAUUCUAAGACAAACCUUUUGCCAAGUUAAACCAGAGGUUACUCGUUGGUUGCUAAUUAGAGGAAGGUCAAGAGCUUGUAUUGAAAGAAAAUCACGGACCAUCUUCGAUAAAACCGGAUACUCUGUCUCAUGUGUCCUCCACCACUCUAAAAUGUCUUCCGAGCUAGCGGCUAUCGGAUUACUUAGGUACUCUUCCAAUUCGUCUAUAACUAAGCGUUGAAGAUAAGAUCCAGAUCCAGAUGACAUCGAGGGACAUGCAUACAGUUUCUCAAAGUCUAUUACGUCGUCAUCUUCAUCAUAUUCACGUACUGUCUUUUCAUUUUUUGGUGAUUCUG